CCUACGGGAGGCAGCAGUAGGGAAUAUUGCACAAUGGGCGCAAGCCUGAUGCAGCCAUGCCGCGUGUAUGAAGAAGGCCUUCGGGUUGUAAAGUACUUUCAGCGGGGAGGAAGGGAGUGAGGUUAAUAACCUCAUUCAUUGACGUUACCCGCAGAAGAAGCACCGGCUAACUCCGUGCCAGCAGCCGCGGUAAU
rnacentral:rRNA from 1 species